GCACGGACUUCGGUCUGGUGGCGAGUGGCGAACGGGUGAGUAACAUAUCGGAACGUAUCCAAUAAUGGGGGAUAACUAAUCGAAAGGUUGGCUAAUACCGCAUACGCCCUACGGGGGAAAGCUAGGGACCUUCGGGCCUGGCGUUAAUGGAGCGGCCGAUAUCUGAUUAGCUAGUUGGUGGGGUAAAGGCCCACCAAGGCGACGAUCAGUAGCUGGUCUGAGAGGACGACCAGCCACACUGGAACUGAGACACGGUCCAGACUCCUACGGGAGGCAGCAGUGGGGAAUUUUGGACAAUGGGCGCAAGCCUGAUCCAGCCAUUCCGCGUGAGUGAAGAAGGCCUUCGGGUUGUAAAGCUCUUUCGCAAGGGAAGAAAACUUAGGCUCUAACAUAGCCUGAGGUUGACGGUACCUUGAUAAGAAGCACCGGCUAACUACGUGCCAGCAGCCGCGGUAAUACGUAGGGUGCGAGCGUUAAUCGGAAUUACUGGGCGUAAAGCGUGCGCAGGCGGUUUUGUAAGUCAGAUGUGAAAUCCCCGAGCUCAACUUGGGAACUGCGUUUGAAACUACAAGACUAGAAUAUGUCAGAGGGGGGUAGAAUUCCACGUGUAGCAGUGAAAUGCGUAGAGAUGUGGAGGAAUACCAAUGGCGAAGGCAGCCCCCUGGGAUAAUAUUGACGCUCAUGCACGAAAGCGUGGGGAGCAAACAGGAUUAGAUACCCUGGUAGUCCACGCCCUAAACGAUGUCUACUAGUUGUUGGUGGAGUAAAAUCCAUGAGUAACGCAGCUAACGCGUGAAGUAGACCGCCUGGGGAGUACGAUCGCAAGAUUAAAACUCAAAUGAAUUGACGGGGGCCCGCACAAGCGGUGGAUUAUGUGGAUUAAUUC
rnacentral:rRNA from 1 species